CAAUAGCAGCGUGGCCUCGCUGGUUUAGAAUGUGUGACCCUCCUCGGCCCGGCUCACUUAGGAGCAGUGAUCAAGGUGUGUACUGAGAGAAGCAGAUGGGGGGCUAACAUUGAUCACGUUUUUUCUCUAUGAUAGGUGCUUUAAGCACUUAGUAAGAUCUUCACAAUAACCCCCUGUGCACAGCAAUUAGUAUGCUCAUUUUACAAAUCUACACCUCUAAAGCUCUUGCCUGUGGCCCCAUGGUCAAGAUUUGAAGCCAGAGCUUUUUCUUACUCCAAAGCUUUACUCUUUUCUCAGGACACAGUGGCUCUUGAACAUCUGA